UAGCGACAGGCUUAACACAUGCAAGUCGAGGGGCAGCGGGGGCGUAGCAAUAUGCCUGCCGGCGACCGGCGCACGGGUGAGUAACACGUAUGUAACCUGCCCUAUGCAGGGGGAUAACCCGGAGAAAUCCGGCCUAAUACCGCGUAACACCUUUGGGGAGCAUUCCCUUGGGGUUAAAGGAGAGAUCCGGCAUAGGAUGGACAUGCGUCGCAUUAGGUAGACGGCGGGGUAACGGCCCACCGUGCCGACGAUGCGUAGGGGUUCUGAGAGGAAGGCCCCCCACACUGGUACUGAGACACGGACCAGACUCCUACGGGAGGCAGCAGUGAGGAAUAUUGGUCAAUGGCCGAGAGGCUGAACCAGCCAAGUCGCGUGAGGGAAGAAUGUCCUAAGGAUUGUAAACCUCUUUUGUCGGGGAGCAAAAAGGCUCUGCGGAGUCGUAUUGAGAGUACCCGAAGAAAAAGCAUCGGCUAACUCCGUGCCAGCAGCCGCGGUAAUACGGAGGAUGCGAGCGUUAUCCGGAUUUAUUGGGUUUAAAGGGUGCGCAGGCGGCGUGUCAAGCAAGCGGUAAAAUAGCGGGGCUCAACCCCGUCGAGCCGUUUGAACUGGCGCGCUUGAGUUCAGGCGAGGUAGGCGGAAUUCGUGGUGUAGCGGUGAAAUGCAUAGAUAUCACGAAGAACUCCGAUUGCGAAGGCAGCUUACCAGUCUGCGACUGACGCUCAGGCACGAAAGUGUGGGUAUCGAACAGGAUUAGAUACCCUGGUAGUCCACACAGUAAACGAUGAGCGCUAGGUGUCCGGGUCGAAUGAGGCUUGGGUGCCCGAGCGAAAGCGUUAAGCGCUCCACCUGGGGAGUACGCCGGCAACGGUGAAACUCAAAGGAAUUGACGGGGGCCCGCACAAGCGGAGGAACAUGUGGUUUAAUUCGAUGAUACGCGAGGAACCUUACCCGGGCUCAAACGACUCAGGAAUAUAUUGGAAACGAUGUAGCCAGCAAUGGUCUGAGUCGAGGUGCUGCAUGGUUGUCGUCAGCUCGUGCCGUGAGGUGUCGGCUUAAGUGCCAUAACGAGCGCAACCCCUACCGCCAGUUGCCAACGGGUAAAGCCGGGAACUCUGGCGGGACUGCCGGCGCAAGCUGCGAGGAAGGCGGGGAUGACGUCAAAUCAGCACGGCCCUUACGUCCGGGGCGACACACGUGUUACAAUGGCAGGUACAGCGGGAAGCCACCUGGUGACAGGGAGCGGAACCCGAAAGCCUGUCUCAGUUCGGAUUGGAGUCUGCAACUCGACUCCAUGAAGCUGGAUUCGCUAGUAAUCGCGCAUCAGCCAUGGCGCGGUGAAUACGU
rnacentral:rRNA from 1 species